rnacentral:lncRNA from 1 species
AGACACAUACAAUAUCCUAAUCCUAUAUCAUUUACCCUUUCGAGACACGUGUAGCAGCUAAACAAUAACCCAAUUUAUUGCACAAUUUGUAUACCCCCCAAAUGUCAUUGCAUUAAACAUGCCAAUAACCCUAAGACGAUUUCAUUUUCUCUGGCACAACGCAUAGCAUUGUUUGUUUUCCAUUUUUCACUGGAAACUCAAUCUCAGUCUCCAUCAAUUAAAGAUCAGAAGCAAAUAAUUCAUGGGAUUGUAUUUGAAACAAAUUAGAUUGAAGAACUUUUGUUGGUGUCGAUUGCAAAUCAGGAAGAAAGUUGAGAAAUUGGAAGCUGUUAAUAGAAAUACGAAGGUAAGAUUCAACACAUCCCUGUAUCUAUUGUUCAUAUUUCUUCAUUAUUAAUAGAAAAUAUACAUAUUUACAUAUAAUAACUUACCUAUUGAAUAUGCAGGAAUAAUUUCUUUGAAGAUGAUAGGCAAAACACGUUCUCCUCAAAACGAAAAUGAAUAUUGGGUGUAUCUGAAAUGAUCAGGUACUUUGAAGAGUAAAUUACACGAAUGGUCACUAUGGUUAGGGUAAUUUGCAAGUUUGAUUCCUAACUUAAUUUUUUAACUCGGAAGGUCCUUACUGUUUUGUUUUUGUUACGCACUUGGUCCCUGUCUUACCUAAAAAGACUAUUUUGCCCUUGAUUUUUAAAUAUUUUUUAAAUAAACACACCCCAACCCUACCCACCUCUCAUUACCUUACCUACCUCACCAUUUUUUCCUAUUUAAAUAAUAGUCUUUUUAAGUAAGAUAGGGACCAAGCGUGUAACAAACACAAACAGUAGGGACCUUCCGAGUUAAAAAAAUAAGUUAGAGAUCAAGCGUGCAAAUUACCCCAAACCAUAGGGACCAUUCGUGUAAUUUACUCUACUUUGAAAGCUUUCAGCAAAUAUAAUUGUUCAAUUUUGAAAAUCGAAAAUGCUAAAUUAGGAGAUGAAUCUUGAUCAUAUAUAUUCAAAAUUAAAUAGAUUUUUUUUUUCAUUAUUUACCUUCCUUACACAGAGAAACAAUCACAACCCUUGUGGAAAUCAUCUUAAAUUGUGUAUGAAACGGAAAUUUUGAUUUUAUAUAUAUGAGCUUCGAAUCGUUUUUUUUUUCUAAAGUUUCUGGGCAAAACAUAUUGAGAUAAAAUAAACAUUGAUGGAUGUUUGUCUGGGGUUAGCAUGCUAUUCAAAAGAAAAAUAGAAUUGCUACCCUAUAAUCAUUUGAACAAACCAUGUCUCUUAUGUAUAGAGUUGACCACUGCAUAUUUUAGUUGUACAUUUAAUAGAGUAAAUUGUUAUGAACAAUUUUAGGUGAUUUUUUAGAUCUAGGAUGUGAAAGUAUUUCGGUCUCUUCUUUCUUUUAUAUAUCAAAUUUGAAGAUGGAUCUAUAACAGCAUAAAAGUGUCAUAUAGCCAUGCUGGAAAUGACUGCAAUUUCAUGAUAUCAACCCUUACAAUUAUGCAAUUACCAUACAUAUUUUAUUAAGAUAUAAAGUUGAAUAUUUCGACUGUUACUUGAAUUUUUAGUUCAACAUCAUUUAUAUUUUGAAGGUUUAGUUUAAGUGCUUUAUUUAUAUUACAAUUUUGGUUUAUUUAUGCAAGAUUCUAAAUUUACAUAAGCAUAUUCCUACGAUUUACAUGUAUAUCAUGAUCAACCUAGCACCAAAUUGUGAUCUCUUCAAUCAUCUGUCGUUAUUUUUUUCUAUUGCGCAUCGUAGCAAGAUUAAAAUAAGAGUAAUGUCCAGUUAUAGAAAAGGGUAAAAUUGUCCAGUUAUGUUAAAAAACUAUUUGCAUAAAGGGUAAUAGUAGAUAACACAUAAACAGAAAAGGGCAGAAUUGUCCAGUUCUGUUAAUAAAACAUAUUUGCAUAUUUUUUUACUUUUUAUUAGUAUAUAACACAUAAACAGAAAAAUAAAGGAAUAAAAACAUCAUAAAUAAGAGUAAUGUCAUAAAUAAGAGUAGUGUCACGAGCAUAUGCAAAAGUAUGUUACCCUAUUAGGAAUGUCAUUAUUAGGUAUAAGAUACCAGAAAAGGGCAGAAUUGUCCAGUUCUGUUAAUUUUUUUAGCAUAUUUUUUACUUUCUAUUAGUAUAUAACAACAUAUAAACAGAAAAAUAAAAGAAUAAAACAUUAUAAAUAAUAGUAAUGUCAUAAACAUAUUCAAAAGUAGGUUGCCCUAUUAGGAAUGUCAUGUCAAUAUUUGAUAUUGCAUAACAGAAAAGGGCAUAAUUGUCGAGUUUUGUUAAAAAAAAAUUUGCAUAUUUUUUAUUAGCAUAUGGAAACAGAAGCAGUACACUUUUUGUUACCACUGCAUCAAUAUCACUAUUUGUUAUGAUUGAAACAUAUAAUAAAGAUUUAGUGGUUUGAAGUCCAUCCGUAUUGAACAUGACUCAUGGGUAACUACAGUUUAAAGUUUUUUUUAUAGAAAAAAAGCAAUAGACAUUUGCCGUAUACGGAUACAUAUAUGCAUACCUAUGCAUAACAUGAGGAGAAGGAGAACUGUAACAGAAGAACAAUACUUACUGUAACUGAAUAAGAAGUAUAGAUGAGAAUAAAUUACUAGAUUCGCAAAGAAAAAGACGUACAGAGGAACUAAAGUUUGAAAGACGCAAAUGUUAGAAAUAUUUUUAGAUGACAGAUUUAUAUAAAUGAUGAAAGCGCAAAGAUUAUUUCAUUCCCUAUUAUAAUGCAGAUAUAAUGGGUAAAAGAUAAAUAAAAUCAAAAAGAUUGCUUAGAAUAUGGUAACAGAGUUGCUAAUUAGUAGGAGACUCCCAAAUUAUCGUUUUCUAUGAUUUUGAUUUGAUCAAAACAUUUUCUAUGUAUUUGAUUUUCGUUAUUAAUGCAAUGGGCGGGAAAAGAUUUCUAAGGAGAUGUGAGAAAAUUACACAUGGAUUGAAGGAGUUUAUAAGAGGGACACGUGGCACCUUAGAUAGCCUUUUAUUAGGAAGAGAGAUAUGUCUUUGUUUAUACAUAUUAAAAUGCAUGCAUGUGAUAUUUAUUUUAUGUUAUUGUACUUUAUGUUUUAUGUAUGAAAAUGAGUCUUACAUUUCAAACAACAUUUUAACAUAAGAUAAUAUCACUUGGAGUUUGAGUACAAAAUAUUUAAAAGAUAACAUUAGAUGUUUAUAAAUAGAUAUUUAUAAAAAUGUUUUUACCGAUUACCGGUUAAAAAUCAAUUUUUCUUAAAAAUAGUUUUAUUGUAAAACUUAUAAAUACCAACUUUAAAAUAAUUGAAAUGGUUUACAAGGUGUUUAAACAUUAUAUAAACUGCAUGUAUUCAUAAUUGUUGAGUUAUGAGCAUUUAAUUUGACAUGCAUAAUUAUAAAGAACACGUUGAAUAUGAUGAUUUGGGUGUCUAAGAGAUGUAUUCGAUUAUAUAAGGAGUUACAAAAAAUUUUAAGCUAGUUCUAGACAUAAAUAACUCACACUCAGACUCUCAAUUUUACAUCUCAAGCACAAUGUAAUAGUGAUAUACAAACCACUAUUUAUAGAAGUGCCAUAACUACUCUCUCUCUCUCUCUCUCUAUAUAUAUAUAUAUAUAUAUAUAUAUAUAUCAUGUCACAAAGCAUAAUAGCCACACAUGCAAGUAGGUGUUGUCAAGUCAAGCCUUCACAAGUAAUUUAAUGGAGAACUUUGUACCCAACAUUCUCCCCCUCAAAGUUAGGAACGAAUGACUCGGCUUCAAUCUCCAAAAAGAGCAACGUUGUGAACAAAACCUUAAUGGUGACAAAUGUAGAAAUGAGCAUCAAAUCUUCAAUCUUCAAUGGUUUCCUAAUCCAGGUUCUAAAAUGUGAGACAUUACAAUUCGAGCAUCAAAAGGCAAUUAGUGAAUCCUUGAGUAUCCAAAUCUCCAAAGAUUAAUUACCCAACUUUGAGCAUAAAAACACACCUCCAAAAUCUUCAUUAUGUCCAAACCCUUCAUAAGAUAGGAAAACCCAGACCACUUCUGAAAUUCCAAUUCGAAUCACUUCAUGAUCUAUUCCCCCUCAAGGACACAUCAAUCUUCAAAUUUGCCUAACAUGAAAAAUCCAAAACUUUCGACUUCGAAUUCCCAUAUUAAAAUCUCCCACGUUUUUAUAAUUGAAAUAUGAUUAUAAAACCCAAAUGGGAAUGAGAAAGCGCUCAAUGUGGAAUAUGAAAUACAAUCCUCCACCUUGACACGUGGCAUAAACGUUUCACUUAAAAUCCAAAAUUUUGUCAAUUUUGACACUUUUAGUCAAAUAAUGAGCUUUUUGGAUUGACUUGGACCAAAAAAUGAACAAAAUAUCAUGUUGCUGAAAACAUCUUGCAAAAACAACACUCUUAAAAUCCCGUAAAAAAUCUCUAAAUUUGGGAACAAUUUUAGUUUAUAGGUAAAAAGUGUAAUCUUUCUGAAAUUGCGGGUCUAAAUAUGAAACUUCUGUAAUCUUCUUGAAUUCCUGAUGCAAGAAAGAACACACAAACACACACAUCACCAACAUUUGAAACCUCAACUUUCGAUUAAAAAAAUACAACUUUCGAUCCAAGCCAUUGAACUUUCGAUACCAAGCCUUUGCAAACUACUAUCGACUAUCAAAACUUUGAAAUUUCGUUCCCAAGUCUUUGCAAAAAACUUUCGACUAUCCAAAAACCAUUUCGACCAUUCACAGUUGAAACUACAAAGUUUCGACCUCACAAUUAAAUCUCACAUUUCGAUUUCCAGUGAGCCUCAAACUUUCGACCUUGGUUAUCAAGGGUCGACUAUUAGCCAUUCAUAGUCCAAAUUUCAACUGAUAAUCUGCAAACCUAGUACACAGUUGAAAUCCUAGACCCAAUAACAAUUACGACUGCUUUUUUAUUCUGAUCACAUUCUUUUCCCAACUUUCAACCAUGGAACACGAAUUUUGACUUUCUUUCCUCACAGAGCCUUGUCUCACGGGAUGGCUCAAUCAUCGUGUGCCACUUAUUCUUUCUUCGACUAAGUCAAGCUUGGAACACUUCCUUACGUUGUACUAACGACUAGAAUAGCAAGAUAUGUGAUAAGGAAUGCUACGAAGUAAGAAAGAAAGCUUCUAUUAUAAACUCGACUAUUUUACAAGUAAACUUCCCAAUGGUUUGGGAAAAUGAGUCCUUCUCCCUAUUUAUAGGAACCUUACACCUCCUUAAAUGGAAGUUUCUAGGUCCCGAUAAUUCUUGACUAAUCUAGACUCUUCCUAUUAUAUACAUGGCCUUUACAAGACUCUAGAAUAUGGUAUACUUUUCUACAAUGCUCUAGAAAUCUCUAGGUCGUCCCGAAAUUAUCCAAAUCGCUCUUGUAUGAUCUACCAUGUUCUAGAUCAUUCCAAAUUCUUUCGGGUCAUUUUAGCUUCAUCUAGUGCCUUCGUGAUUAUUCCGGAUCGUUCUCCUUUGUUCCACAAACAUCUAUAAUAUUCUAGCAUCUUCCAAGGUCCUGUACGACAUUCUUGAUCUCUACGGAGACUUCUUGAGUAUACUUGACUGUUCCAGAAUUCUCUAGAAGAUGGUGGAAUUUUUCAGAAACUUGGUUUGUGACACCCUUCCCCACUUAAACCCUUGAUGUCCUUGUCAAAUCUUCUAUAUAUAUGUCUCGAUCUUGUCAUGGAACUACUUCGUGUCUUUUAUUUUUCUCCAAAGUCUCACUUAGAGUAAGGUGUGCUUUUAUUUCUCAAUGUAUCUUGAAUCCUAUUUCUUCGCUCAGCCUGACAACCGGCAAAAUUCUGGUCAAAGCCAAAGUCAAGUCAAGGUCAACGGACCAUCUGGUCAACUCAAUUAGUGCUUAUAUGUUAGGAAAUUCUUUAUGUUUCCUAAUGUUCAACUAUAAUUCACUACUAGAAAAAAAGGCUUUCCUUGACAGACAAUGUUUGUCAUAAACGCCUAUACAUGACAGACAAUUGUCUGUCAUUGAAAGCCAUGUCAUAAAAGAAAAUGACAGACAUUAGAUUUGUCAUAAAAUUUACGACAGACUUUUAUGACCAACAAUUACGACAUACAUACACGACAUGCAUUUUCGACAUACAUUUACGACUGACUUUGUUUGUCAUAAUUCGUAACAUUUUUGUAUUUAUGACAGAGAUUUACGACUUCAAAUUACGACAUACGUUUUGUACAAUACGAUUUUUGACAUAUUUUUACAACAUGGUUUGUANUAUAUAUAUAUAUAUAUAUAUAUAUAUAUAUAUAUAUAUAUAACACCCAAUCCAAACCAAACUAAAUUACAUAUUUAAUGUCUAAUAACAUAAAAUAAAACAUCAUACCUAUAUUAAAAGGCUUACACGAAUUAUAGUGUCAAAUUCAAAAAUACGGUCCAAAUUCAUCAAAAAGUAAUUGUCAAAUUCAUAUCACUAGUAAAGAAAAUUUAUAACAUAAAUAGCCCAUUCUUCACGCACCCUAUCAAGCUCGACGUCUGUAUAUUCAUUCUUCCCCCAAAACUGAGACAAAAACUAGUAUAUUAACAAAAAUCUAUUAAAUAAUUAUAUAUGUAAAUAUUCUACAACACUUCAAGUCCAUCAAGUAACUAAUAGAUUUACUUACAUUGUUAUUCAACACUUCAAGUCCUUCGCCAACAACCUCUUUCAUGAACUUAAGAACAUAAUACCCGCAUUUUGUGUAACCAUGCUGAAAGGGACACUCUACAAUUAUAUAAUUAAUUGAUUAGUAAAAAACAAUAAUAUAUUAGUCAAAUCCAAUUGAAAUUAAAGUUGCAGUUUGUGCUAACCAUAACAUUUAUCCAAUUGGCUUUAACCUUUUUCUUUGAUCCACUUUGUCUUGCGUGCAAAGACAAUGCUCUACAAAAAAAUGGAUGAAAUAUAUCAAAGAAAAUAAUUUAAUGUUUCAAUAAUUUGUAUUACUUACGCUUCAAUCAAUUGCUUUAAGUCUGGAUCAACAACAAGGCACCUUAGUGAAUUAAGGUAAUUGCAUGUUGUUGUUUGCAUGUCUAGUACUGCUAGCACCCAAUGACCACUGUAAACCCAAAAACCAAAUAAAAUUAGGACAAUAAUUGUGAAAGAAGUUUAAAUGCAAGAAAUUAUAAAGUACAUUAUAGUAAAAGGAAGCCUAAAUACAAGAAAUGACAGCUUACUUUCUACUUACUUAUGGUAAAGGAAACUUAAAUGCAAGAAAUAACAAAGUACAUUGCUAUUUCAUGCACUUGGGGACAUAAAAGAACUUAUGUAAUAAAAACAAGUAAGUUAUGUUUUUUGUCGAGUCAAAUCAAUUAAUGUUUGCUGCUAUUUCUUGUAAUUUAACAAAAAAAAAUACCUAAAUGCAUGAAAUAGCAACUUACUUCUACUUAUUAAUGGUAAAGGAAGCUUAAAUAUAAGAAACAAUGAAGUACAUUGCUAUUUGUUGCGCUUGGGACAGAAAGGACUAGUGUAAUAAAAAAAAGUAAAUUGUCUUUCUUUUCCAAAAUCGAAUAAACUAAAGUAUGUUGCUAUUUAAUCCAUAGUAGAUUAAUGUUAUAACAUCAUACUAUUAUGUCAUUCAUGUUAUAAUAUCAUACCUGGGAUUGUAAGGCAUUAAGAUGAUAUUGUUGUCCUUUCUUGUUGACAGCCGACAUGCUAUGACUUCACUUGCUUCAUCACUUUUCUUGAAGUUGUUCGUACGCCCAUCUUUAGAGAUCGCACUCGGGCUCACAAAACAGAUUCCAUGAUCUGUUUUUCCUCCAUUCUUGAUUUCUUCAUACAAGUACCUAUUAAUAUAUAAAAAAAUACAAAUGAUACAAAAGUUUUACUAGAAAAAUAUAAAGGAUUUUUGGAUCGAGUCCAGCUUGUACCAUUUCUACUAUGGUACAAUAGUGCGGUUCCAUGACCAUUGAUCUCACUUCCAAUCACAAUCCUCCAUUUUCCAUAAGGCCGAUCCAAGCCGUUGAUGGAUCUCGAAAUUACCCGGGUUUAAUGUCAUCAAUUGGGGUUAGCAACGGGUUACCCGACCAUUUUAUCCAUUCUUCAAGAAGUGUUUUCAAUGAAUCGGGUUCUUCUUCUACAUCUGUGAAGAAGGAAUUAUCUAGCAUAUCUUUUGUAUGAUCAAAGUCGGGAAGAACAAAUUUAUUAGGGCCUCUUUCGGAAUUUUCCCCAUGGAAAGUCCAAACUUUAUAUCCUUCAUCAAAUCCAUUGGAAAACAAAUGAUAACGCACGGUCGGAAUUGAGUGAUGGCACAAAUUGAUACAAUUUAUGCAAGGACACGGAAUUACAUCUGAUUUUACAUUAUUAUUUUGUGCAAAGGUUAAAAAAUCCUCCACACCUUCGUCAUAUGCAUUUGUUAAUCUAUUCGAGGAAAUCCAUGAUUUAUCCAUUGAAUAAUUUGUUACCAACCUACAAAAUUAUGAAGUAUUACAAACAACUGAUUUUACCCCUUAAAUCUAAUAACAAUAACAUAAAAGCAUAAACCUAAUGAUUUGCUAAAGGCUUGAGAAUGAAAUUUAUAACAAAAUAACAAAGUAGAAGUUUUAUCUAAAGCUAAUUCUGUUAACUUGAGCAGGAAUUCUUCAUCUAAAGAUGAAAAAGAGAUUCAGACUAUGAAUCAUGAUCCAGAAUUCCAGAAUACUAAUGAGAGUUUAUCAUGGGAUCAGGCUUCACAAGAAAACAAUGGGUAUCCAUCAAAUAUGGUUUUUGAUCCCCACAACCCUGGUUGGUAUUAUGACAUGAACACUCAAUAAUGGUACUCUUUGGAGGCAUAUAAUUCUCAAGAACAGGACCAGGUCAACCAAAAUGGGUAUUCUGCAACUAGUACUUAUUAUGGAAGUGAUCAGAAAGCAUAUGGUGGGCAGGAUCAGAUAAAUAAGCAGUUACAGGUAGGAUAUGAAGGACAAAAUUAUAGUGUGUAGUAAAUAAGACAAAUGGUAACAAAUGAAAUGUUCAGCAAACCAGAUGGAGUUUUAUAGAAAAAUGAGAACAUGCAAUUAUUAUGUUUUCAUAGUAAAAAUGACAGAAUGCUUGAAACCAUUUAGUUAAAAGCUUCUUUGGUAAAUGAUCUACAAGCUAUUAACACAGGUAGUGUUAGAUACCAUUGGAACACAUAUUUUGUUUUUCAAAGUGUUCUAAAACAAACUCCUAAAGAUGUAUUAUAACAAAUAUAGCCUACAGACCACUAUUAACUCACAUUAUAAUCAUUUCUACUCAUUCACAGUUGGGGAAUAGAAACAUCCCUAGUAUCCUUAAGGCUUACAAUUUCAUUUCCGAUGAAGAAUUCAAGGGUUGCAUUCAUUUCCAAUGGUAUCAUUAUUUGCACAUAGAAUUUAUGUUUCUAAUUAGGGUAUGUGCUUAUAUGAAGUCGAAACUACAAAGAAACUAAGUAAAAUCAGAAACUAUUGUAACAGAACAGCGAAAGACAUUCAUCUCAGAAGCUAUGGUUCAGAAAUCAGAAAUAACAAGCAAACAAUUCAAUGAUAUUAUUCUGAAACUAGGGUUUAUUCUGAGUUUUAGUGCUAAAGUAGAAAGGUUCAAGAUGUUACUUCUCAAGAUAUAAUAGAGUUGAGUGACUGGUGUCAGACGGCGAUGACGAAGAAUCAGAUCGCGCAUCGGUGACAAUGACAAUGGCGUGACUGGUACGGUAGUGGCAAGUCGGCGAGUGGUGAAACGAGGACGGAAAUGGUGAGGCAACGAGUUGAUUUCCUGAGCGGAGCAGCCCAAAUCGAUCGCCGUCUGCUUUGAUUUCUCGUGUGUUGAUGAUUUGGAAUGAUCGUACGAGCUUUGAGGGUAUACUAAUUCAUCCUACCAUUAUGAUUUAGAAUCAUACCAUCAUCUUUUUAUUUUGACCGGAUUCUGGAAUUUUGACCAAUUAUAUUGCAUGAAAAUCAGUUAAUUUGCUGUAUUCAAUAUAUGUUGCUUCAUGUUAAUAUUAUAAUAUUAUAAAUUUAUUAGCAAGAUAAAUUAAAUAUUCAUAACUAUGGAUCCUUUUAUAAGGUUUGGAAUUAUUUGGAAACUUAUUUUCAAAUUUAAUGUCAUUAAUUGCUAAUUUUGUAAAGUAAAUAUGCUAAAAACCCAAAAGCCCGAGAAAGAGGUCGACUAGUCAUGAGGCUAAGUACCAACUUGACCCAUAUCCCAGUGUACAUCUAGGCCCAUUUACAUAUGGGUUUAGCUAAUGUUUCUACCCGAAAGACUUACACUAUAAUUUAGGGGGUGUUUAUGUUUGGAUAUAUAUAUAUAUAUAUANNNNNNNNNNNNNNNNNNNNNNNNNNNNNNNNNNNNNNNNNNNNNNNNNNNNNNNNNNNNNNNNNNNNNNNNNNNNNNNNNNNNNNNNNNNNNNAUAUAUAUAUAUAUAUAUAUAUAUGAUCUUUGUUAAUUAUUUAUCUAAAAUUUCACUAGAUCAGUUGGUUUCCAGCAUGGUUAGUAAUCGAGACACAUAGGUUCGAUUUAUUUUCAUAUGCUUUUUUUUAUUAAUAAAAAUGAUCUUAGGAAGUAGUAUUUGCUUCAAAAAAAAUUUCCUACUAUAUAGUGCACAUGUACUAGUCGACAUAGCAUCAUUGUAUUAUUGUUUGCUAUUACUAAUUUUUCUUUAUAGUAUUAACGGAGAAAAAUCAUUUUAAUUUAAUCUUUAAGAUAUGACAUAAAAUUACGACAUACUUUGCUUGUCGUAAAUCAUUGAUAUUUUACGAUAUAUGACAUAAAUUUUAUGACAGAAUUUUAUGCCUGUCAUAAAAGUGUUGUGUGUCGUAAUUCGUCUGUCAAGGAAUGCCUUUAUCCAGUAGUGAUUCCUAAUGAAAAGUAACACUUGAAAGUCUCAAAAGUUCAAAAUUUAAAACCCUAAUUUGAUUUAGGGAAGUAGCAGCUCUAUAAAGCACUAUUGAGUGCCCUUCGGGGUUGUAUAACACUCAAAAUAGAAUGUAUCUAAGUCUAAGGACCUUGCACUACGAAGAAAAACACUAAUAAAGGCUCCCAACAAAGUCUCUCCCAAUCUCUCCCACUAGAUCUCUCUCUAUCUCUCUCCCAAAUCUCUCCAAGAAUAUAAAAUCUCUCCCAAAUCUCUCUAAGAAUAUGGAAUCUCACCCAAAUCUCUCCCAAUAUGUGAAAUCUCUCCAAGUAUGUGAAAUCUCUCCCAAUAUCUGAAAUCUCUCCCAAAUCUCUCCAAGUAUAUGAAAUCGCUCCCAAAUCUCUCCAAGUACGAGAAAUCUCUCCCAAGUCUCCCUACGUACCAUCCUCAGUCGAAAACAUCCCAAAACCGGAGGAGAGAACCCAAAAGGACCCUCUUGGUCCGGAACCCUCUUGGUCCUGAACUUCUCGUCCGGAAUCCUCUUACGCCAGUACCCCUCCCUACUUCGCAUGCUUCUGAUGAAAUCCCGAAUGCUUCUGUUUGCUACGGAACCUCUGAACUAACUCCGGAAGAAAGAAGCUCUGGAAGCCUGAAGUACCGAGCCCUCUCGCAAUUCAGGAAGCCUCCUACCCGAAAAAUCUUGCACCUCAAGACUCCUUGACUCCGGAAGAUCUCGCCCUACCUCGCCUUGUUUCGGAAACCUUGGGCUGGACCGGACUCCGCCUUUUGACUUCGGAACCGAGGAGAUACUCCGUAAAUUGAAAUUCAGCUUCGGAUUUCGCCUGGUGGCUCCGAACUUGAGCAAACGACUCCGGAAUCCUUCUCAAGCCCUUCGGACCCUCGUAGGAGCAUCAUCCCACUUCGGAUUUUCAUCAUUUUUUUGACUUUUUCACCAUUUAAGGUAUUUUGAUGCCAGAAAUCACACCAAACUCGUAUUUUUCAUGUCCUAAACCACUAAAACUCCUAUUUUAUGCCAAAAUUAAAUAUUUUAAAUGUAUUUAUAUAAAAUAAAAACCCAAGAUUUUAAGACGAUCCUAAGAAGAUAAAGGGGUUUGACCUUGUGAUGUGAUGCUCAAUCCUCCAUUGUCCCAUGCAAAUCCCAGUUAAACACACAUUACCCUUAGAAAAUAAGCCUUGCCCACCAGUUUUCCAUGCAAAUGUCAAGUCAUUCCUUAUCCUUCCCCUUUAGAUACGUGAAUCUUUUUUCCUCCCUCAUCCCACUUCCCACUUUCUCAAUCAAUAAACUCCCAAGAAUUCUCUCAAACUCUUUCAAGACUCAAGCUUCAUUCCUUCAACAAAAAUUUCCAGAAUCUUUAUUAAGUGUUCAUCCUGCUUGAAUAGUGGUUUUUCCUCACCAUUCCGAUUUCACUAUACUUACACAUAAAUUAUUUUUAGAAUCAUUUUGAAGUCUCAAGAACCUUUCAAGUGUUGUGAAACUUGGAAGCUCCUCAUCAUCUCUUCAAAUCUUCCGCGAACUAAACCAUGGUGAGCUUCAUACCCCACCUUUUUCCUUAGUCUUUGUUGAUUUUGGGGGAGAGUACAAGUCACCUCUUGUUCUAAAUUCUUGAAUGAUUGCAUGUGUACGUGUGUUUAAUAAUUGUGUUGAAAUAUUAUCAUUUUUUUGUAUGUAGAACUCUCUGUGAAUGGGAGGUGUCAUAGAACCCAUGAAAAUAAAUAAUAUUUCAAAAUCUUUAUAUGAGUAAUAAAAUUUACAAACGGAGCCUCCCAAGUUUUUGGGGGUGUUUAACAUGCAUCCUUGUAUCCAUGCUCUUCAUAUUUAGAGAUAAAAGUUGUUGAAAUAGACCUUGAAAGGUUGACAAUAAGUCUAGAACUUUGAAAUUUGAACUUGGUGUUCCAUAAAUGACUAUUUGCAAACUGUUAAGGGGUUAUUUAUAAAAAUUGGAUAUAAGUAAUUUCACCUAUAAUAUAUGCAAAUAGAGCCUUUAUGACAUAAAAUUUUGCAUGUCAUAAAGCUACUGUCAUAAUUUCACAGAAGUCAUAAGUUUUACACAAAUCAUAACUUGACAUUUUCCCGAUAAAUGGGGUCUCACUUAGUAAUAUAUAGAGAGGAGAGCCAUUUUAGCUGACAUCGCUAAUAUUGAAUUGAUUUGAUAAAUAUUUUGAGCGAAUCACUUUCAACAAAUGAAACGAAACGGAACAUUUAGUCAACAAGUACAACUAGUAAUAAUUAUUUGGUAAAUAAUGAAUUUCAACGCUUUGCGUGAAACUACUAGUAUUCUAGUCAGACGAAAUCUUCACAACACAUAUAUUAUAUACAAUAUUGUACACCCUAAGUCUUAUAAGAGUUAUAACUAGAGUCUCCUGGAGGGAGAGCGGGAAUUUGUGUAUAGAUCUAUACAGGUUGACACCCUGCACCUUCGCUGUUCGCUACAGCCAGACCGACCAGUCUAGGGUGACAAAUGUCUUGAACAAAACCGACGCCUGAAGAAUGUCAUAACAGGCGCUCUGUCAUAUUAGUAUGGCUAUAACGACUCACUAGAUUAUAUAAAAAAUGUAAUUAUAUAGACUUCAUCUUCAGUUAAAAAUCAACUAUUCUGACUACCUCAAUGAGGCUUUUUCGCACUCGUGUUAUGUUAUUACCAAAAUUACUAUUUUAUACAUCAGAAAAUAUAAGAUUUUUUGGAGAAACAGUUCGUACGAUUUUGGAAAACAAUGAAUUAAGACACACAUGCAACUAUACUCGAUUUGAAACAAGAAUUACAACCAUUUGAUAAGAAAAUAUUGGAUUUUCUGGAUUUUUAAACUAUCAUCAAAGUUUUUAUACUCAAAUGCUUAUGAACUCACCAACAUAUUUUAUGUUGACGCUUUUCAAACGACUUGUAUUCUCAGGAAAUUAAUAAGCAGGUUAUGGAUUGCGGACUCAAGCUUAUUUUGCUGUAUUUUGGGAAAUUAGCUUAGUGAUGUUUCUU